rnacentral:rRNA from 1 species
AAAGAAACCAACAGGGAUUGCCCCAGUAACGGCGAGUGAAGCGGCAACAGCUCAAAUUUGAAAUCUGGCCCCCCCCCGCCGGGGCCCGAGUUGUAAUUUGAAGAGGAUGCUUUUGGCGAGGCGCCUUCCGAGUGCCCUGGAACGGGACGCCACAGAGGGUGAGAGCCCCGUAUGGUCGGACGCCGAGCCUCUGUAAAGCUCCUUCGACGAGUCGAGUAGUUUGGGAAUGCUGCUCAAAAUGGGAGGUAAACCCCUUCUAAAGCUAAAUACUGGCCAGAGACCGAUAGCGCACAAGUAGAGUGAUCGAAAGAUGAAAAGCACUUUGAAAAGAGAGUUAAACAGCACGUGAAAUUGUUGAAAGGGAAGCGCUUGCGACCAGACUCGCGCCCGCCGGAUCAGCCGUCGCUCGUCGGCGGCGCACUCCGGCGGGCUCGGGCCAGCAUCGGUUCGCCUCGGGGGGAGAAAGGCGGCGGGAAUGUGGCUCUGCGGAGUGUUAUAGCCCGCCGCGCAAUACCCCCGGGCGGACCGAGGACCGCGCGUAUGCAAGGAUGCUGGCGUAAUGGUCGUCAGCGACCCGUCUUGAAACACGGACCAAGGAGUCGUCCUAGUAUGCGAGUGUUCGGGUGUCAAACCCCUGCGCGUAAUGAAAGUGAACGGAGGUGAGAGCUUCGGCGCAUCAUCGACCGAUCCUGAUGUUCUCGGAUGGAUUUGAGUAAGAGCAUACUGGGCCGGACCCGAAAGAAGGUGAACUAUGCCUGUAUAGGGUAAAGCCAGAGGAAACUCUGGUGGAGGCUCGCAGCGGUUCUGACGUGCAAAUCGAUCGUCAAAUAUGGGCAUGGGGGCGAAAGACUAAUCGAACCUUCUAGU